GAGUUGAGCAACACAAAUUAGGAAAAUGUCGGUGGUUGUAUUUGAUAAGGGUUUAUUAAAACGUGUGAAUUUCGGAUCCCGCGGAAGAAACGCGGUAGUACAUAAAACGGGUACAGUCACCAGCAACAGUCUGGCUUGACCAGUUUAAGGCUUUCAUUCUGGUAUGUGUAUUUGAGUUACAGCCCACCCAAACCAGUAUGGUUUGAUGGAUGAAUCCAGACCACUGUAUAAGGGUAUCCAAUUGGUAGUUAGUCUUGUCUCAUCGCUGCAACUCCC